GGGGGAAGAAGAGAAAGCUGCUGGCUCCGCCCUUUCCCUGUUGUUCCUUCCUUCUUAGUUCCUGUGUUGUAUUUUCCCCUGUGUGUGCAAGGGUGUGAGUGUGAGGCAGGCACGCGCACUCGUGCGUUGUUGUUGCUGCUACUGCUGCCACUGCUGCUGCCGCUGCCCAUCUUUCUCCACCCCCCCUACCGGGCGGGGGGGGAAAAUCACUGGUGUCAUAUGAGAGGAGGGCUUGCUAUGAUGAAUCAGUUUUUCCCUUGAGCAGAAUGGGAGAGCUUGAAUGAAGGAGGUUGACUCCUCUCCUUUAUCUUAUUUAAACACAACCCGACAAGUCGGAGGGUUUUUGAAGUGCUGGAUGCCAGUUCAAAGUUCACAAAGCAUCACCCCCCUCUCCCUCCAAAGUGCAGUAGUUUGUGUGUGUGUGUGUNUGUGUUUAAAGCAAGAUGGCGGACUUGCACUGAAGGAACGGCAACCCAGAAGGCUCGCAAAGGCAGCCGAGCCGCCGCCUGCUGCACGGUGGAAAGAUGGCGUUCCUCCCGGCUGCAAGAACAGAUGGGUAUAAAGCCAGAAUCUCUAAGGAUACAUAAAGGAAGUAACUAAUUGCAGAAGUUUCCCCAAGACCUCCAAAAGAACAUCUGAGCUCAGCGAUAGGUACUUUACUUUCUGAGAUGCGCUAGUUUUGUUUCCAGUCAGUUAGAAGAUCCCUAUCAUCUGUCACCUUGACUGUUGCACUUUCCUCUGCUGAUGAAUUCACUCAUUUCUCUACCACCUAAUGUCCCAGCUCAAAUCCCCAUACUGCCCCCUUUCUUCUCCAAUGCAGCUCCCGCUUCUUAAACUUUAUCUCAUUUCUCAAGGUUUAUUUAUCUGUGGCAUAUAUAUCUCGCCUUUCUUUCUUUCUUUAUCUCAAGGCUUAUUUAUCUAUGGCAUAUAUAUCUCGCCUUUCUUCCAACCCCCUCCCCCCCCAAAAAAAAGAUGAUGACACUGUUGUCCCUUACAUUUUAACCUCACAACAACCCUUUAGGCUGAGAAGCAGUGACUGGCCGAGGUCAUCCAGUGGUCUUUAGUGACUGAGUAGAGAUUUGGACCUUGGGGACUCCCUUUUUCUAGACUGAUACUUUAGCUGCUAUUUCGUGCUGGCUCUCAACUUCGUCCAAAAACCUUGACUCUCUUUUCAUUAAAGCCCUUCUCAGAACUUUAAUUCUUAACUGAAAAAAAUGCUGAGUUGCUUGUGUUUGUUUCCUUACAUCUUAGAACCUUUCCUUCUUUCUGAGACUUCCCAGCUAUCUGGUGCAUGAUAGCGACAGCUACUUUACAUAUACUGUAAAACAGCACCUUUCAUAUUAUUGCUGCUAGCGUAUAACAAUGUCAUGGAGAGGUGCCAAUCUUGGUAUGAUUCUUAAACUAAAAAGUAAUCCCAUGACUGGGAGCAUCUUUAGAGAGCUAUUCUGAACGUGUUAUAUGCUUUUUGUAUUGGAUACUGUUUGGCAGAUUCCUGCACAGAGCAGAGGGUUGGAUUGGACCAGGACUGCUCAACUUGCAGCCCUCUAGAUGUUUCCUAACUACAACUCCCAGGAUUCCACUCCAGGCAUUUGAAAGUAGAGGACUGCAAGUUGAGCCACCCUGGACAAGAAGUCCUCUAAGGUACUUUCCAGUUCAUCUGUUCUUUGGUUCUGGAAGUGCCUGAGUUUUGGCAGAUCUCCUGAUUUUGGCACCUACCACGGACUUCAAAAAUCCAGUCAUCGUACCGCUGACAUGCCACAGGCUUCUGGCCUGGUGGUUGCAAAUUGUACUGGCUUGAUUUUGGUAAAAGUGAAGGCAUGGAUAGACUUCUAUUUUAAGCUAGUAUUCAGAACCAAACUAAGUCUACAUAUUUGCUUUCAAAAUUUGCAGACAUGUUAUUAGCAUCAGAAGUCAGUGUGUUUCAAGGAACAGCUAAGAAUGAGGGAUGUGGGCUUCUUUGAAUGAGCAUUAAUGGGUACCUUUGAAUUAAAGACAGAAGCAUCUGAAAUUCAGUAGUGCUUUAUAUGUAAAUAUGUGUGGGAGUUCACAUCCUCUCAGGAAAAAGGAGCAUUUGGAAUUGACUCUGAGAAGGGUGUUGCACUGAGAAACAUUUCUGGGUUAAAUGGAUAAAUAGUUUGAUUGAAUGAUACUUCCUUAAACCAUUGCCUUUUACAGCUUGCAUGAACAACUUUUUUGAAUCAAGGGUCUAUCAUGUUAUUAACAUGUUUUGAGAGCCACAAUUCGAAAGUGGUUGGGACAGUUGCACAUAGUUAAAGCAGAAAUGAACUUAGCAAGUUAUCAGGCAGAGCAAAUACAUAUAAAUAAAUGCACAGGUAGCUCUGUCUCUCCA
rnacentral:lncRNA from 1 species